rnacentral:rRNA from 1 species
GACAGAGGUGCCGAGCGUUAGGCGGAAUCACUGGGCUUAAAGCGUGUGUAGGCGGGCGGGCAAGUAUCUUGUGAAAUCCCACGGCUCAACCGUGGAACGGCUGGGUAUACUGCCUGUCUUGAGCCAACUAGGGGCGAGCGGAACAGACGGUGGAGCGGUGAAAUGCGUAGAUAUCGUCUGGAACGCCAAAGGUGAAAACAGCUCGCUGGGGUUGUGCUGACGCUGAGACACGAAAGCCAGGGGAGCGAACGGG